GAUGAACGCUGGCGGUAUGCUUAACACAUGCAAGUCGAACGAAAUCUUCGGAUUUAGUGGCGGACGGGUGAGUAACGCGUGAGAAUCUGCCAUCAGGUCUGGGACAACCACUGGAAACGGUGGCUAAUACUGGAUGUGCCGAGAGGUGAAAGGUUAACUGCCUGUUGAUGAGCUCGCGUCUGAUUAGCUAGUAGGUGUGGUAAAGGCGCACCUAGGCGACGAUCAGUAGCUGGUCUGAGAGGACGAUCAGCCACACUGGGACUGAGACACGGCCCAGACUCCUACGGGAGGCAGCAGUGGGGAAUUUUCCGCAAUGGGCGAAAGCCUGACGGAGCAAUACCGCGUGAGGGAGGAAGGCUCUUGGGUCGUAAACCUCUUUUCUCAGGGAAGAACAAAAUGACGGUACCUGAGGAAUAAGCAUCGGCUAACUCCGUGCCAGCCGCCGCAGUAAC
rnacentral:rRNA from 1 species